rnacentral:rRNA from 1 species
UACGUAGGGUGCGAGCGUUGUCCGGAAUUACUGGGCGUAAAGAGCGCGCAGGCGGUCGUUCAAGUCGAGUGUGAAAGCCCCCGGCUCAACUGGGGAGGGUCACUCGAUACUGAUCGACUCGAAGGCAGGAGAGGGAAGUGGAAUUCCCGGUGUAGUGGUGAAAUGCGUAGAUAUCGGGAGGAACACCAGUGGCGAAGGCGACUUCCCUGGCCUGUUCUUGACGCUGAGGCGCGAAAGCUAGGGGAGCAAACGGG